rnacentral:rRNA from 1 species
GGGCCCGCACAAGCGGUGGAGCAUGUGGUUUAAUUCGAUGAUACGCGAGGAACCUUACCAGGGCUUAAAUGUAGUCUGACAGAUUUGGAAACAGAUUUUUCUUCGGACAGAUUACAAGGUGCUGCAUGGUUGUCGUCAGCUCGUGCCGUGAGGUGUCAGGUUAAGUCCUAUAACGAGCGCAACCCCUGUGGUUAGUUGCCAGCGAGUCAAGUCGGGAACUCUAGCCAGACUGCCGGUGCAAACCGUGAGGAAGGUGGGGAUGACGUCAAAUCAUCACGGCCCUUACGUCCUGGGCCACACACGUGCUACAAUGGUAGGUACAGAGAGCAGCCACGUCGCAAGGCGGAGCGAAUCUCAAAAAGCCUAUCGUAGUCCAGAUUGGAGUCUGCAACUCGACUCCAUGAAGUAGGAAUCGCUAGUAAUCG